UCGAUUAAACUUGAUGGGUUGUUGCUGGUUCUUCUAGAGCAAGUGCACACCUGUCAUUUUUAUCUUUCCACCAUGUGAACUAUGCAUAGUUCUGAAUAUCCCUGGUCAAGUUAUACUUGAUUUCUGGAAAUUGCUGUUAUAGUGACAGCUUUUUCUGUAUUCAGAUUCUAUGAUCUUUUAUAUACACCAAUAUGUUUAUGAACGGUUUACAAGGCUUUAUAGCCUAUAUAAUUAUAUA
rnacentral:misc_RNA from 1 species